CACAUGUGCUCCGUGUGUCCAGUUACCCUCUCGGUAAUCAGUCCCGGAAAACUUUUCUUCGACUCCCUGCCUGUGAGGGCCUCUGUCCUGGUGAGGGGGCGGGGGUCCUUAGGUCCUUAGUCCCUCCCCCCUGCGCUGCAGAAAGAAGCCCAGGGAUAAAAAAAUAGGGGAGAGAGGAGCGUAUUUUUUUUGGCCUACCCUUUCCCUCCUAGGGCUGUUUUAUGUAGCCUUGUUUUUCUAUUCUGGCCCAAUGGCCAGGAAAAUUCUUUUUCUCCCUGAAGAAAUUCUGAAAGACAGCAGGGAGCUCGGUUCUGUUUCAAAAGCUGGUGGGAAAUAUCUCCUGAGGGCCCGUUAUGUGCCAGGCACGGACUGGACACUGGGGCUGCAGCGAUGGACACAGGCCCAGGUCCCUCCCUCGUGGUGGUGGCUUUGAGUGGGUGGGACGAGGGUCAGAGAGAGAAGCUGUGUUGCUCCAGGCUUGCUCUCUGAAGGUAAGUCCUCUUCCUCUGCAUCCUUGGUACGUGUGCCCAGCUGCCAGCUCCUCCAAGGGGUGCGAGCAUCUGGGAAAACGGUCAUUUCCAGAAGCUUUCCUGACCUGGCUCCUUCACCCCUCUGAUGUCUCAUGCCCUGCAGACCCUGCCCUUUGCCUACCCAGGUGGAGGCUGUCCCCGAACAGCUGUCCAUGCCACAGCUCCGGGAGCUAGAGAAACCUCCAAGCUCUGUCCCAGGGUGUCCCUGUGACCCCCUGGAGAGGUCCCGGCGGCACCGGAUCUGCCUUCAUCUCCCUCUGGCUUGUGCUGCUUUGCAGCCCUGCCUUGCUUCUGCGGCUGGUGGUCCCUGGAUGGUGGUGCUCUCUCUCCACACCCUCGGCAUCCCUUCUCCUCCCAACUCAGCCCGUUCCGGGCUCUUCCAGGGCUCAGGCUGAAUUUUUGUCCUUCUCUGGAGGCACAGCUACAAGGGAAAGUUCCUUCAUGACAGGAGAAUCCGGCUGCCGUUCGGAAGGAAAGGGAAAGCAGAAAAUGGGGAGUGGAGUGAAGCAGCCAUGAAAAAGAAUGAAAUAAUGCCAUUUGCAGCAACAUGGAUGGACCUAGAGAUGAUCAUACUGAGUGAAAUAAGUCAGACAGAGAAAGACAAAUAUCUGGGGAAUCUAAAAAAAAAAUAAUACAGGGCUUCCCUGGUGGCGCAGUGGUUGGGAAUCUGCCUGCCAAUGCAGGGGACACAGGUUCGAGCCCUGGUCUGGGAAGAUCCCACAUGCCGUGGAGCAGCUGGGCCCGUGAGCCACAACUACUGAGCCUGCGCGUCUGGAGCCUGUGCUCCGCAACAACAGAGGCCACAAUAGUGAGAGGCCCGUGCACCGCGAUGAAGAGUGGCCCCCGCUCCCCACAACUAGAGAAAGCCCUCGCACAGAAACAAAGACCCAACACAGCCA